CAGCCUCACCGGAACUUCCCCAUCCUCCUGGCUUGGUUCCUGAAGUGGCCCAAGGCUGCCUUCUCCCUCCCGUGGGUGAACAGGGUCACUGCUUCCUCUCUUGUCCAGGCCCCCUGGCCUGACCCUGAGUCCCGGGCGUAACGGCGUUGUUGAACCACCACAACCCCAGGCGGCGCCUUCCUCUUGGCCCAGGGGCUCUCUUGGGGACAGUGUGCAGUACUCCCCAAGGGGGCUUUGCUGUGCAAAAGCAGCCCCUGCCGAUGCUGCGGCUCCCGUGGAUGGAGCACUGCCGUGGGAACAGAGUUGGAACUCAUCCAAAAGAAUAAAAGACAACUGUGUUGGAAGAUUGCCAAGGUUUGUAGCUGUGCCACCGCAGACUUCAGAGAUGAACACUGCCUUGGAGACGAGGAGGAUUCAAGUUGCAGAAGCAUUUAGCUCUAGGGAUGAUUGCUGGUUUCUGCAGUGACUAGUUCUAUGCUAUCUCCACAUUCCUUUUUGUGCAGAAAAGAGUUAAUACAGCAGGCCCCGCUGCUAUUCUUAGAAAGACCUGUUUGCUACGUUGGCUUUUGGCUGGCAUGUGGGAACUUGGAUUUCGGGAGAGUCUCCAUCAUUCCUAAAACUGAGAAGACUGCCUAAGCUCUUUGUACAAACCAUAUGGUUUAUGCUGAAUACCUGCUUUCCUCCUGGAGUCUGGAAUUUUGGAUCAAUCUUGCUGGAAGACUGGACUCAGAUAAAGUUGAGAAUUUUAAACCUCUGAGUCCCUGUACCUCCCUUGCUGGCUUAAGAUUAGCUUUCCCUUGCAUGAAGACCUGGAAGAAUCUCUUCUGAGCCAGUUACCAUCCAAGGGGGAAGCCUCAUUCCCUUCAAGUAGUACAACAAUGUCCAGUUAUUGCCUCAGAGGUAGUCUACACUGUAGUAGGCAGACUAACACCCCUGAAGAUAUCUACAUCCUAAACUCUGUAAUCUAUGAAUAUGUUACUUGGCGUGACAAGAAGAACCUUGGGAAUGUGAUUACGAUAAGGACCUUGAGAUGGAGCGAUGAUCUUGGAUUUUCUGAAUGGGCCCAAUGUAGUCACACGGGUCCUUAAAAGUGGGGAAAAAAAACGGUAGAAGAGGGUCAGAGAGAGAUGUGACUAUGGAAGAGUGAUCAGAGAGGUGCACACUGCUGGCUUUGAGGAUGGAGGGAGGGGCCCCAGCCAAGGAUUGCAGGCAGCUUCUAGAAGCUGUAAAGGGCAAGGAAACAGUUUCUCCCCCAGAGGUCCCAUAAAGGAAAGCAGCCCUGCUGACACCUUGAUUUUAGCUCAGGGAGAACCGUGUUGAAUUCCUGACUCACUAAACUUUAAGGUAACAAAUAUGUGUGGGUUUAAGCUACCAAGUUUGUGCUAAUUUGUUAUGGUAGCAAUAGAAAACUAAUACAUAUACCUGUAACCGAAGUCAGGGUUCAGCGUAAGGGGAACAGCCACAAAGUCUGACCAAGCAGGAGAUGGCUUGUCUUCCAAAGUAAUUGCACAACUUGGCUAAUUUAUACCAGUAGAAACCUAGGAAUAUAUAGACAUGGCUUCUAAAGAUGUUAGACAGAGGAGGAUGACAUUUAAUGGUAGAUUGGGAGGAAUUUAUUGAUAUGAGUACACUUAUUAGAGAUUUUAAGUUUGAUGUGUUAGCUUGCGCACAUGGAAGUGGAUCUUAUAGCUUGCUUGAUUCGUUGAAUAAAGCCAAAACCUGU
rnacentral:lncRNA from 1 species